UUACAAUCCAACCCCAUCAACUCCCCCUAGUGGUGGAAGCUAUGAUCCAACUCCAUCACCACCCUCAGAUGGAGGUGAAAAUUGCAAUCCAACCCCAUCAACUCCUCCCGGUGGUGGAAGCUAUGAUCCAACUCCAUCACCACCCUCAAGUGGUGGUGGUGGAAGUUACAAUCCAACCCCAUUAACUCCCCCUGGUGGUGGAAGCUAUGAUACAACUCCAUCACCACCCUUAGGUGGAGGUGGAAGUUACAAUCCAACCCCAUCAACUCCUCCAGGUGGUGGAAGCUAUGAUCCAACUCCAUCACCACCCUCAGGUGAUGGUGGUGGUGGAAGUUACAAUCCAACUCCAUCAACUCCCCCAGGUGGUGGAAGCUAUGAUCCAACCCCAUCACCACCCACAAAUGGUGGAAGUUACAAUCCAACCCCAUCAACUCCUCCUGGUGGUGGAAGCUAUGAUCCAACUCCAUCACCACCCUCGGGUGGUGGAAGUUACAAUCCAACUCCAUCAACUCCCCCAGGUGGUGGAAGCUAUGAUCCAACCCCAUCACCACCCACAAAUGGUGGAAGUUACAAUCCAACCCCAUCAA
rnacentral:lncRNA from 1 species